rnacentral:rRNA from 1 species
UGCUGUGAGGCAUGCUGGAGGUAUCAGAAGUGCGAAUGCUGACAUAAGUAACGAUAAAGCGGGUGAAAAGCCCGCUCGCCGGAAGACCAAGGGUUCCUGUCCAACGUUAAUCGGGGCAGGGUGAGUCGACCCCUAAGGCGAGGCCGAAAGGCGUAGUCGAUGGGAAACAGGUUAAUAUUCCUGUACUUGGUGUUACUGCGAAGGGGGGACGGAGAAGGCUAUGUUGGCCGGGCGACGGUUGUCCCGGUUUAAGCGUGUAGGCUGGUUUUCCAGGCAAAUCCGGAAAAUCAAGGCUGAGGCGUGAUGACGAGGCACUACGGUGCUGAAGCAACAAAUGCCCUGCUUCCAGGAAAAGCCUCUAAGCAUCAGGUAACAUCAAAUCGUACCCCAAACCGACACAGGUGGUCAGGUAGAGAAUACCAAGGCGCUUGAGAGAACUCGGGUGAAGGAACUAGGCAAAAUGGUGCCGUAACUUCGGGAGAAGG